CAGUAGCCUUCACCUAGAUAAGCAGAGGCUAAUACCAGAUAAACAAUCAAGCAGAAAACAACCAAGUAAAAAACUAUCAAGGAGAAAAAACCCCACCAACACAGGCAGAGCAAGCUACUGGGUAUAAACAGGUAACAAAUUCAACUUCACCAGCACUGAUGAUGAUACCGAGUCAGGUAUAACGGAAACAACAAAGCUCAGAGAACAAAAAGGGCUAUACAAUGUGUUGCCUGCAGAAACCUCUCCGUCUUGUCCAUAAUCUCAUUUUUCUCUGCAGGUACGCAACACAAGCCAGACUUUCUCCUUUACAGUGGAGCAGGAGACACCCGUCCAGGGUCUGAAGCCUGCCUUGGUCAAAGUCUAUGAUUAUUAUGAAAUUGGUGAAUUUGCAACAGCCAAGUACACUGCCCCCUGCAGUACAGAUGAUAUCAAGGAAGUCCACAUAUAAAGCAUAAGGAUUCAGCUCAUGUUUUCUGGAAUAGCACAUUAUCGGAAAGAAUGAAUCCCGUAGAAACUAAGGAGGAAUAUGAUUUUAUAUACAAACGUAUUAAAUGCUCAGUACUAAAAUGUUUUAAUAUUUUGAUUGUAACACGUUUUUUUCAACUGUAAGCCACCCAGUGUCAUUGACUGAA